CCUACGGGUGGCAGCAGUGGGGGAUAUUGCACAAUGGGGGGAACCCUGAUGCGGCGACGCCGCGUGGGUGAAGGAGUGCUUCGGCAUGUAAAGCUCUAUCUGCAGGGAAGAAGCAAGACGGUACCUGACUAAGAAGCCCCUGCUAACUACGUGCCAGCAGCCGCGGUACUACGUAGGGGGCGAGCGUUAUCCGGAUUUACUGGGUGUAAAGGGAGCGUAGACGGCCAUGCAAGCCAGGGGUGAAAGCCCGGGGCAGAACCGCGGGACUGCCCUUGAAACUGGAUGGCUGGAGUGCGGGAGAGGCAGGCGGAAUUCGUGGUGUAGCGGUGAAAUGCGUAGAUAUCAGGAGGAACACCGGCGGCGAAGGCGGCCUGCUGGACCGCGACUGACGUUGAGGCUCGAAAGCGUGGGGAGCGAACAGGAUUAGAUACCCUAGUAGUC
rnacentral:rRNA from 1 species